AGCGCCCCAAGUGGGAAUCGCUAUUAUUGGGCCUAAAGCGUCCGUAGCCGGUUUAGCAAAUCUUUUGUGAAAUUGUCGGGCUUAACUUGACAACGUGCAGGAGAGACUACUAAACUCGAGACCGGGAGGAGUCAGAGGUAUGCCGGGGGGAGCGGUAAAAUGUUGUGAUCCUCGGUAGACCACCUAUGGCGAAGGCAUCUGACUAGAACGGAUCUGACGGUGAGGGACGAAAGCCAGGGGAGCGAACC
rnacentral:rRNA from 1 species